rnacentral:rRNA from 1 species
UAAGUUUUAUUCUUAUUUUAGUGCUUCGUUAAUUUAUUUUAUUUAAAUUAAUUUAUAUAAAAGGGGUAAAAGAAAUGUUUGAUUUCAGCUUAAUUUUUUACGUUAUUAUUAAAAUUGUAUGAAAGCUAAGGCGUGAUAUAAAUAAUUUAAUUAAAUAUUAAAUUAGUUAAAAAGUAAAGGUAAAUUAUGAAACUUUAUAGUCUCAGCAUAAAAUAUUAUAAGCAAUAUAUUAAAGUAUGAUAUAGUAGUAAUAAUCUAAGUCUGAUUAAUAUUUGUGCCAGCAUUCGCGGUUAUACUUUAAGAUUAAGUAAAAAUUCAAGGUUAUAGUUAAAUAGGUAAUUAAUAAAAUAUAUAAGUAAUAAAGGGUAAAAUCGGAAUAUUAUUUUGUAUAAAAAAAAAUUCUAAUUGAAGCUAAAAAAGUUUAGUAAUAAACUAGGAUUAGAUACCCUAUUAUUCUAAAAUAAAAUAAUCUAGACCAAAUUAGUAAGAGAUAAAUACUUAAAAUUUAAAAAAUUUGGCGGCAAUUUAAUCUUUUCAGAGGAACCUGUUUUGUAAUCGAUAAACCACGAAAAAUCUUACUUGUUCUUGUAAAUAAAACAGUUUGUAUACCAUCAUUAUCAGAUAAUUCUUAGAGGAGAAAUUAUUAAAUUUGGUUGUUUAGUUAAAUUAGAUCAU